rnacentral:rRNA from 1 species
AGCAGCCGCGGUAAUUCCAGCUCCAAUAGCGUAUAUUAAAGUUGUUGCAGUUAAAAAGCUCGUAGUUGAAUUUCGGGAUCAAUAUUUCGGUCAUGCCGUUGGUAUGCACUGUUAUCAUUGAUUUCUCACCUUCUAAAGAACCGUAAUGCCAUUAAUUUGGUGUUACGGGGAAUUAGGACUGUUACCUUGAAAAAAUUAGAGUGUUUAAAGCAGGCUCACGCUUGAAUACAUUAGCAUGGAAUAAUGAAAUAGGACGUUCGAUCCUAUUUUGUUGGUUUCUAGGAUUGACGUAAUGAUUAAUAGGGAUAGUUGGGGGCAUUAGUAUUCAAUUGUCAGAGGUGAAAUUCUUGGAUUUAUUGAAGACUAACUACUGCGAAAGCAUUUGCCAAGGAUGUUUUCAUUAAUCAAGAACGAAAGUUAGGGGAUCGAAGACGAUCAGAUACCGUCGUA